rfam:Oryza glaberrima chromosome 4 Oglab04_0215_8, whole genome shotgun sequence.
AUCUACUAAUACUGUCGAUGUCCGCGCCCAACUUUGACCGUUCGUCUUAUUUAAAAUUUUUUUGAAAAAAUUUAAAAACAUAAGUCACAAGUAAAGUACUAUUCAUGUUUUAUCAUCUCAUAACAACAAAAAUGCUAAUUAUAAAAAAAAUUUAAAUAAGAUGGACGAUCAAAGUUGGACGCGGAAACUCAUGGCUGCACUUAUU